AGGAAGUAAUAUCAUACCUGCGGCUUCCAUGUUAGAGGGAAUUGUCCACAGUUGUGAAGAAAUGGUUUGACCAUGGACCCUGAGUACAAACUCCAGGAUGUGGUACGGUGUCAUCUCUGUGAGACCCCGGUCCCCCCUCUACACUGUGUCAUUUGUAACAUACAUCUGUGUAAAGACUGUGAGGGGAAACAUCUCUCUGAUAAAUCCAAACAACACAAAGUGGUGUCAUUCAAAUAUCGGGGAUCUUUCCCUAAAUGUCAAAAACAUUCCACAGAAAUAUGUGACCAGUACUGUGAACAAUGCUACAUUCCUAUUUGUGAACUCUGUGUUUCCUCUGAGGAACACCAAACUCAUGAUGUAGUGGACAUUUUGGAAAGUUUAAAACGCAAAACACAAUUCUUACAGAAAGAUUUACAAGAUUUUGAAAAAAAAAUUCAUCCUAAAUAUCAAGAGAUUCUAUCUAGCAUUUCAGAGGAAAAGGCUGAUCUGAGAGAAAACUCCCAGAAAUUGACAACAGCAAUCAACAAACAUGGAGAAGAUUUGCACAGAGAAAUAAACACCAUUAUACAGAAACUGAAAUCUGAUCUUGAUGAAAUGGACACCAAACACCUGGCUGUCUUAAACAAGCAGGAAGUUGAAAUCACACACACCAUUUCUGAAAUCACACAGAGCAUUGCUGAACUGAAGACGUUACUGGACUCCAAUGAUGUCAGCCGUGUCUUUGCCUACAAAUCCAGGAAUGAUAAAUUCAGAAGAUUGCCUCCUAAACUUAUAGUUUCCUUACCAAGUUUUACCCCUCAGAAGAUCAACAAAGAACAGCUUUAUCAGCAGUUUGGUUCUCUGUCAGCAUCAUCUAUCAAAACAGAAGAACAUGGCUACACAAUAGAUUCAUACUGGGACAGACCGCUCAUUGAUGUACCACGGAUCAUCACACAGAUAGACACUGAGUAUGGAGGAUUCUUACAUCAAUUAUGCAGUGUGUCCUGUGUGAGUGAUGAAGAACUGUGGACAUGUGGUUCUAAUGACAACAAGAUGAGUCUCUACAACGUGCAGGGGGGACUAGUGAAGUCAGUCCCAACCAAGUCAGGGAGGAAUCCAUCAGACAUAGCAAUGACAAGGAGUGGGGAUCUAGUUUAUACUGAUAGAGGUGAUAGAACUGUGAACAUAGUGAAGAAUACCCAGAUACAGACAGUGAUCAGACUACGGGGGUGGAGACCUGACGGUGUCUGUAGUACCUCCUCUGGUGACCUCCUGGUUGUCAUGGAAAGUGAUGAUAAACAAACAAAAGUUGUGUGUUACUCUGGCUCCACAGAGAAACAAAGUAUUCAGUACAAUGACAAAGGACAACCUCUCUAUUCAUAUGGUGGAUUAUUUAACACUAAAUACAUCAGUGAGAACAGGAACCUAGAUAUAUGUGUGUCAGACAAUGGAGCCGGUGCAGUAGUGGUGGUCAAUCAGGCCGGGAAACUCUGGUUUACCUACACUGGUCCUCCCUCUACUACCAAGGGAUCAUUCUAUCCACGCGGCAUCACAACAGACAGCCAGGGUCGGAUCCUGACAGCAGACCGUGACAACCACCGUAUCCACAUCCUGGAUCAGGACGGACAGUUCCUCCGCUACAUUGACAACUGUCAAUUACACGGUCCAUGGGGUUUAUGUGUGGACACCAGAGACAACCUCUUUGUGGCUGAGUACAUAGGUAAAGUGAAGAAAAUACAAUAUAACAUGUAAAUAUACAAUACAUGUGACAAUACACAAACAUAAGAUGAUCUGUAAUUACAUUUAGAUAGACUCAGUAUAUGUAUUCAUGUAGCACUGUUAUUGAAUGAAACUGUUUGUUUGUCAUGUAAACAAAUAACAUAUGGACAUUUUGUGUACAUGUUUAUUGAUUCCACGUAAAGAAUUGUUCUACAUAGGGAUGUCUUUUAGUUUAAAUAAGAUCAGAGGGCUCACAUGUUUUAUACAACACAGUUCAGUUUUAUAUAAGAUGAAUUUUACUAUUAUAACAAAACAUUGAUGCAUAAUGUGCAUGAUGGCUUCAUUUGUUAUUGACUUCAUAUUGAGUAGUCGACAAAGAAAACUCGUGUUGACAUCAUUUGUUCUACAUUUGAUGUAUCCUUUUAUGAUUGUGCAUGAUUACCGUAUUUAGAUAUUACUGGUAAAUUAUGUUGAUGCACUACUCAUAACAUAUUGAGUUUAAUAAAACAACCACUGUACAUUU
rnacentral:sRNA from 1 species